CAAAUAUGGGGUUGGAGAAGAUGAAGUCUCUCUCACACCUCCUAAUUGCUCAAUGCACCUUUGUGAGGCUCCCUUCUUUAGGUCUAGAGCAUUUUCCUAGCUACACCCUCAAUUUUCAACUUAUUUUUGUCUUUUAUAUAUAUUUUUUAUUUUUUAUUUUCUUAUUAUUAUUUUAUUUAUUUAUUUUUGUUAUUUCUUUGAUUUCCU
rnacentral:lncRNA from 1 species